AGUUUUAUUUGUCUUUUACUUUUUUCCAGAAUUAAAAUAGUUAAUUUAACACAAGUUUUUUUAUUUGGGGGGCUAACUAGAGAAUGAUUUGAGGAGAGGGGGCCGAUGAGAAUUUUAUCCCUCUUUCUCUACUUUGAAAUCGUUCUCUUCGACUUUUCCUCAUGAACGUUUAUCAGCUUCAAUUCUCUUAAAUUCAAAAGAGAAGUUACGAUUUCUCCAUCUUUAAUUGGUAAAACUAGGUAGAAUUCAAGAUUUUGACUGUGAAAAAUUGUUGAUUUCUCUUGAUAAUGGUUAAGACAAGGUGGUCAAAAAAGAGGAAGAGAGGAGAAGAGGGUUCGGGAAACCCUAAUGUUGAGGAGAAAGAUGGAUAAAGUUUGCGGAACCCUCCAGAUUCGAACAAUGUUGACGAGGAGGUAGAAAUAGAAAAAGAUAGAGAUAAAUAGUUAUCUCCAGUUGCUGAGAAUAAUGAAGAAGAAGGGAAUGAAGACGAUGAAGAAGAAGGGAAUGAAGUAGAAGAGAAAGAAGAUGAAGAGAGUGAAGACGAAGAGAAUGAAGAUGAAGGAGAGAGUAGCCGAACCUUGCGUGAUUUCAUUGAAGAGAGAUCCGAAGAGAUAUCAAACGAAAAUCGCGUGGAGAUGGUAAGUAGUUGGGUUCGAAAUGUGAAUUUUGGAUUUUAAGUAAUAAUGGUUGAAUAAUACAUUUGUGAUUUCUGAGUAAUACUGGUAGAAUUGAGAAAUAAUAUUUUGACAUCUGGGUAACACUAGUAGAACUAGAGAAUACUAUUGUGAUGCCUAGGUAAAACUGAUAAUACUACGGUAUAACAAACAUUUAGUAAUACUGAGUAAUACUAUUGUAUAAUUGUGUUCAAUUGCAUGAGUCUGCUGACCCACUAGCUGGUCUUUCAGACCCACCAGCUGGUCCUUAGGAUCCACUUGCCAAGGAUGAUAAUGGUGGUUUAUGUGCGAUAGGCAAGGAAGAACCAACUCGGAAAGAAGUCCAACCCAAUUAGAUUUGGCUUCUUGUGUUUGGUAUGGAUAUUGUAAGUUUAUGCAUACUUUCUAGGGGUCGAUUAGGUUUUUAAAUGGAUAGCAAAUGGAUUUUAGCAACUAAAUCAUAGUGAAUUAUAGUUUUGAACCCGAAACCAUUCAAGUUGAGUUCUUCUCGGGAUAGUAGAACUGGUCAAACUGGGUAGAAAUGAAUCUGAAACUAUUGAAACAUAUAUAUAUAUAUAUAUAUAUAUAUAUAUAUAGUAUGACUAGUUACACUAGUAUGACCCAAAUAUAUGUAGUAUGACUAGUUACACUAGUAUUACCCAGAUCUAUGUAGUAUGACUAGUUAAACUAGUAUUACCCAGAUAUAUGUAGUAUGACUAGUUACACUAGUAUUACUACAAAUGUAGUAGAACUAGUAAAACCAGUAUUACUGAUAGAGUUUUUGUACUGUUUUGGCAGGAUACAAUGAGGGAGAACGUGUUCUUGGCAGGAUACAAUGAGGGAGAACGUGUUCAUAUAUUUCAAAUGCCAAGGUCGCAUGUAUAGCUUGAUGAUGAAGAC
rnacentral:lncRNA from 1 species